UACGUAGGGCGCAAGCGUUAUCCGGAAUUAUUGGGCGUAAAGAGCUCGUAGGCGGUUUGUCGCGUCUGCCGUGAAAGUCCGGGGCUCAACUCCGGAUCUGCGGUGGGUACGGGCAGACUAGAGUGCAGUAGGGGAGACUGGAAUUCCUGGUGUAGCGGUGAAAUGCGCAGAUAUCAGGAGGAACACCGAUGGCGAAGGCAGUUCUCUGGGCCGUAACUGACGCUGAGGAGCGAAAGCGUGGGGAGCGAACAGG
rnacentral:rRNA from 1 species